CCUACGGGCGGCAGCAGUGAGGAAUAUUGGUCAAUGGCCGCGAGACUGAACCAGCCAAGUAGCGUGCAGGAUGACGGCCCUAUGCAUUGUAAACUGCUUUUGUGCGGGGAUAAAAUGCGUCACGUGUGAUUUUUUGUAGGUACCGCAUGAAUAAGGACCGGCUAAUUCCGUGCCAGCAGCCGCGGUAAUACGGAAGGUCCGGGCGUUAUCCGGAUUUAUUGGGUUUAAAGGGAGCGUAGGCCGGAUGUUAAGCCCGCCGUGAAAUGCCGUGGCUCAACCCUGGCACUGCGGUGGAAACUGGCUGGCUUGAGUGGGCGGGAGGUAUGCGGAAUGCGUGGUGUAGCGGUGAAAUGCUUAGAUAUCACGAAGAACUCCGAUUGCGAAGGCAGCAUACGGCCGCGGUACUGACGCUGAAGCUCGAAGGCGUGGGUAUCGAACAGGAUUAGAUACCCCUGUAGUC
rnacentral:rRNA from 1 species